rnacentral:rRNA from 1 species
GACGAACGCUGGCGGCGUGCUUAACACAUGCAAGUCGAGGGCACUUUGGGGGCAACGUCUGGAGUGACCGGCGAACGGGUGCGUAACACGUGAGCGACCUUGCCUCGUGGUGGGGGAUAGCCGGCCCAACGGCCGGGUAAUACCGCAUAGGGUGGUCUUUUCGCAUGGAGAGACUAGCAAAGCCCUGGAGCAAUCCAGUGGCGCCACAGGGGGGCUCGCGGCCUAUCAGCUAGUUGGGGGGAAUGGCCACCAAGGCGACGA